AACGAACGCUGGCGGCAUGCCUAAUACAUGCAAGUCGAACGAGACCUUCGGGUCUAGUGGCGCACGGGUGCGUAACGCGUGGGAACCUGCCCUUAGGUUCGGAAUAACUCCCCGAAAGGGGUGCUAAUACCGGAUAAUGUCUUCGGACCAAAGAUUUAUCGCCUUUGGAUGGGCCCGCGUUGGAUUAGCUAGUUGGUAGGGUAAAAGCCUACCAAGGCGACGAUCCAUAGCUGGUCUGAGAGGAUGAUCAGCCACACUGGGACUGAGACACGGCCCAGACUCCUACGGGAGGCAGCAGUGGGGAAUAUUGGACAAUGGGCGAAGGCCUGAUCCAGCAAUGCCGCGUGAGUGAUGAAGGCCUUAGGGUUGUAAAGCUCUUUUACCCGGGAUGAUAAUGACAGUACCGGGAGAAUAAGCUCCGGCUAACUCCGUG
rnacentral:rRNA from 1 species